ACGGCGAGUGAAGCGGCAAAAGCUCAAAUUUGAAACCCUCGGGAUUGUAAUUUGAAGAUUUGGCAUUGGAGAAAGCUAACCCAAGUUGCUUGGAAUAGUACGUCAUAGAGGGUGACAACCCCGUCUGGCUAACCGUUCUCCAUGUAUUGCCUUAUCAAAGAGUCGAGUUGUUUGGGAAUGCAGCUCAAAGUGGGUGGUAAACUCCAUCUAAAGCUAAAUACUGGUGAGAGACCGAUAGCGAACAAGUACUGUGAAGGAAAGGUGAAAAGAACUUUGAAAAGAGAGUGAAAUAGUAUGUGAAAUUGUUGAUAGGGAAGGAAAUGAGUGGGAGAGUGGCCGAGGUUUCAGCCGCCCCUCGUGGGCGGUGUACUGCCGACGCCGAGUCAUCGAUAGCGAGACGAGGGUUACAAAUGGGAGCGCCUUUCGGGCGUUCUCCCCUAACCCUCCACACUGCCACCGACGA
rnacentral:rRNA from 1 species